ensembl:snRNA U2 U2 spliceosomal RNA
UUUGCUUCUUGGCCUUUUGGCUAAAUCAAAUGUAGUGUCUGUUCUUAUAAGCUUAAUAUCUGAUAUGUCCUCUGAGGAUAAUAUGUAAGUGGGUUUUUGGAGCAGGGAGGUGGAAUAGUAGCUUGCUCCAUCCAUUUCCAUCCAUUGACCUGGUAUUGCAGUACUUCCAGGAAUCGUGUACCUCUA